rnacentral:lncRNA from 1 species
CACAGUUUGAAAGUGCCUGAAAAUCUUAAAAGGAUUCAGGCUUUAUAUUUCUAGCAUCUAAGGUUAGUUCAACAAAUAAGAGAAAAUUUUAACCACUUAUUAACAUUUGCCUGUGUGUAGCUGAGAAACAUUACAUCAGUCAGAAGUCUUUACUUUUUGUUAUUCUCUGUAAGUAGUACUGUAAAUGCAUCAGGUGACAUAGCGUAUGUUGAGAUAAAGGCCAGUGGAAUGAUAAGCUGGGCUGAAAUGCUGUUAAAUCCAUGAACUUCCUAAUAGACCUAUUCUCGACCAUGGUCACACAGGUGAUGGAAGCUGGGUUCCCCUGUGUGGAGUGGGCUAGCUGAAAAAUACUGUGAAAAAUCACACAACCCAGAAAACAGUUUUAAGGGGUGGGGUGGGGGGUGCAGAAAAGCUCUUUGACCUUAGGGGUCGAGCUUCCACGCUGGAAAGAAAGAGUGCCUGUGUUCUGCUUUAGUUAUAUGGGAGAAUUUCAGAGACUUUCUACAGAAUGUUAUUGGCCAAUUAAGGUAGGGGGUGAGCUGUCUAGUUCCCAAUGGGCCACACCCAACUUCGGAGAUAGGAGCCAGUCUUCCUAGCCAAGCGAAGACUUUAAGUCAAGUGUAUUGUGUAAUCCAUUUGGCGGGGGAGGGUGCACAAAAUAGCUCGCAAUGCCAGACCAAAAUCUCCUUGGCUCAAGGCCCCAUGAAGACGCUAAAUAGCUCAAGAGUGGCCUCCCACAACCUGUGUUCUCUCCCACCACAUGGGAGCCCUAUGAAUUUCACACUCAUGUCUUCUCCCCAUCCCUUAACCUCCCUCCCACCAAGUCCCUUAGACUAAAUAGAAUGGAGUACUUCAGAUGCAAGAUGUAACUUGUACAUUUUACUUUCAUGGUGUUUCAAAAGGAGCUACACCGGUAUCUGGAAGAAGGUGGUUCUUCACAAAAAAACUGCAUUUUAGUAGGUCUGGCAUCCCUUGUCCCCAGAAACUAAACACCAGUAGCCACUCCCCCAGACCCCUCAGUUACACCCCAAAAGUACCCCCAACAUUUCUAAAUACACCUGUAGAGGGCAGUAACUUCCCAAGAUGAAAAAAAAAAAAAAUGCUUGAUUUCUAGUGGGUUUUUUUUAUCUUGGGGAGAAUGCAACACCAUGACUUUUUUUUUUUAGGUUUUAUUUUAUUUUUAA